rnacentral:misc_RNA from 1 species
AGAUCUUCGUCAUCUAUCCACUCUAUCGGGUUAGACCUUUCGAGGUCGGCCGACGCCGGUACGUUUACCACCGGCAUCUUUGGUGGACCGUGUCGUGGUCUUGCUCCCGUGGCCGGUGCCACAUCUGACGGACGAUUCGUAUCUCCACCGUCCACACCCGAGGCACUCGUUGUCUCUCGCGGCUGUGCCCCAUGUGGCCGGCGACUCGUAGCUUUAUUACCGUCGCCCGGACGUUUCCCAGUUACUCCGUCAAAUGCCGAGGCAAUCGUUACCUCUCGUGGCUGUGCCACAUGUGGCCGGCAAUCCGUAGCCUCAUCGCCGAGGGCCGUGGUAUUCCACAUAGGUUGCGGACGUGAUUUCUCUCCGCUCUCACAUUCCCCACUUUUCUGGCAGCCGGCACCGUCGGGUGGCCGACUUGGCCUCCCAUGCUCCUUGCUAGGACUUCCGACUAGACUAUUCCGGCUGUUUAUAUUGAAAAUGAACAGAUGGGCAGGACUAACACGCACCCCUCGACUCUCUCAUCUAUCGUCGAAUAAAUUGCAUCAAAGUAUACGGCCGGCCCGGCUCUUUCUCUUCUUCUUUGCAGAGGGAAAAAUCAGUGGAGGAUCGAUUCGAGUUUCUCCAGAGACUCAACAUAUAUUAUAAAACAUUUAAAAUGGAAUUUUUUUUAAAUUCCCCGGGCUCCUGAGUGACUGUUGUUUUGUGUGACGAGUUUCGGGUCUAAAAGUUUACAAAUGUUCCGAAAUGUUCUGUGUGUUCAAUGCAAAUUUUUACUCUUAGUGUUAUCUCGAGAGUGGUUUUUCGUUACGAACUGGUUAUUGGUUAAUGCUAAAUUAAUCGGAUUUGAGGCCUGAGCGGGCUGAGCCAGUCAUCAUAACCACAAGAUCUACACCAGUUUGGCUCUGGCUGGUGUUGACCUGCCAUCACCAACAAUCUCAGCAUCAUCACUUGGCAGAAGAACCGUCUCGCUAAUUCGACGAUUUUCCUCCGAAAGCAACUCAAGCCCAAUAAGUUUUAAAAGUAAGUUUUAUAUUGAUAAUUGACGCCUUAUUUAUGGUAAAAUACACCAUGCCAACAGUGCCGACCCGAAGGGCUAGAGCCCAAACAGUCGUCGUGGGAUGUUCGUAGGGUACGGACGUUUCUUCUCUUCGCUCCUCACUUUCCCCACUUUUUUACAAGCUAGUCAAAAUUUUUACUUUAAUUUUUUAACCUGACGCUCGGAUUUGUUCACUCUGAAUUCAAAAAGAAAUUAAAAAUUCUUUUUGUGUUUGUGUGUGUGAUCAAGUUGAGAAUUUUUUCAAAACAAGCUCAAUCUUCAAUCGAAAAGUGUUUCGUCGGAAGCGUGUUAGUUGCCCAAGUUGCCUUUGGAUAUCCUUCCCCAAACACAUCAGCAAGAUGGUGCGACAUCACCAGCGGCUAGCCUCAUCGGAGCGGAUCGAAGAUUCGUCCUUUCGUCACCAACACAUCAUCAUCAUCACCGUCGAGGAUGUGGAGGAGACGCUACGGCUGUUCCGGCAGCAUCCGGUGGCCGACUUGGCCCCAGGACGUUCCUAUGUUCUUGCUACUCCUCGUUUCGGUUGAAACGCUUUCUCUGGCCACCGUUACCAUAUUGCUAUUCGCAUGCACGAUACCAUUGGAAUACCACCAACCCCAUGUUAAUUGACACCUCCAGCCGGCAGAGCAUAGUAUUGCCCGAUCAAGGAAUGCCUUUUUGCUUUCCAGCGACUUCAAAACUCUUCGUCCACAAUAAUGGAUUGUCAACAAUCAACAAGAAUGCUUAU